UACAGAGGUCCCGAGCGUUAGGCGGAAUCACUGGGCUUAAAGCGUGUGUAGGCGGAUCUGUAAGUACCUUGUGAAAUCCCACGGCUCAACCGUGGAACUGCUUGGUAUACUGCGGAUCUUGAGCUAGCUAGGGGCAACCGGAACAGACGGUGGAGCGGUGAAAUGCGUAGAUAUCGUCUGGAACGCCAAUGGUGAAAACAGGUUGCUGGGGCUAUGCUGACGCUGAGACACGAAAGCCAGGGGAGCAAACGGGAUUAGAUACCCCGGUAGUCCUGGCCAUAAACGAUGUCAACUAGAUCGUGGCAGCUCUGACGCUGUCGCGGUCGAAGUAAAAAUGUUAAGUUGACCGCCUGGGAAGUACGGUCGCAAGGCUAAA
rnacentral:rRNA from 1 species